UACGUAGGGUCCGAGCGUUGUCCGGAUUUAUUGGGCGUAAAGAGCUCGUAGGCGGUUCCGUAAGUCGGAUGUGAAAACUCGGGGCUCAACCCCGAGACGCCAUCCGAUACUGCGGUGACUUGAGUCUGGUAGGGGAACACGGAAUUCCUGGUGUAGCGGUGAAAUGCGCAGAUAUCAGGAGGAACACCGGUGGCGAAGGCGGGUCUCUGGGCCGUAACUGACGCUGAGGAGCGAAAGCAUGGGGAGCGAACAGG
rnacentral:rRNA from 1 species